rnacentral:rRNA from 1 species
GAUGAACGCUGGCGGCGUGCUUAACACAUGCAAGUCGAACGGAAAGGCCCAAGCUUGCUUGGGUACUCGAGUGGCGAACGGGUGAGUAACACGUGGGUGAUCUGCCCUGCACUUCGGGAUAAGCCUGGGAAACUGGGUCUAAUACCGAAUAGGACCACUUCUUGGAUGUUGUGGUGGAAAGUUUUUUCGGUGUGGGAUGAGCUCGCGGCCUAUCAGCUUGUUGGUGGGGUAAUGGCCUACCAAGGCGUCGACGGGUAGCCGGCCUGAGAGGGUGUACGGCCACAUUGGGACUGAGAUACGGCCCAGACUCCUACGGGAGGCAGCAGUGGGGAAUAUUGCACAAUGGGCGCAAGCCUGAUGCAGCGACGCCGCGUGGGGGAUGACGGCCUUCGGGUUGUAAACUCCUUUCGCUAGGGACGAAGCGUUUUGUGACGGUACCUGGAGAAGAAGCACCGGCUAACUACGUG